rnacentral:rRNA from 1 species
ACGCGAAGAACCUUACCCAGGCUUGAACAGCGAGUGACCAUCGACGAAAGUCGACUUCCGCAAGGACACUCGUAGAGGUGCUGCAUGGCUGUCGUCAGCUCGUGUCGUGAGAUGUUGGGUUAAGUCCCGCAACGAGCGCAACCCUUGUUUGCUGUUGCCAUCAGGUUAUGCUGGGCACUCUGCAAAGACUGCCGGUGAUAAACCGGAGGAAGGUGGGGAUGACGUCAAGUCAGCAUGGCCUUUAUGUCUGGGGCUACACACGUGCUACAAUGGCCGAUACAAACCGUCGCGAGCCCGCAAGGGGGAGCUAAUCGGAGAAAGUCGGUCUCAGUUCGGAUAGCAGGCUGCAACUCGCCUGCUUGAAGUUGGAAUCGCUAGUAAUCGCGGAUCAGCACGCCGUGGUGAAUACGUUCCCGGGCCUUGUA